UUUUACUUUCCUCUUUCUUCACGCUUCACUUCACUUAAGAACUAGCUGCCCAGGUGAAAAUUGAAAGCUGAAGCACAAAAGCUUCGAUUCUCCAAUUCUCUUCUCAUAUUAUCUUCUCUGAUACCAAUUUGUGAGAAAAACACUCUGAAGAGUUGAAGUUAUAGAAGUACUUAGCUGAAGAGUUGAAUUCAUUGAAGAACUGAAAAGAAGAACACGAUUUUAGACAAAUGUUGUUGGAAUAGGGUUUAUCAGUUUUUCCAAGCUUGGUUCGAGUCCAAGAAUCUGCUCGGAAUUCUCAUCCGUAGAUCGUGUCGAGUCUCGUGGUGAAGAUCAUUUCUUUUCUCGGCCCUUCUAGUUCACUGCCCAAAGAAAGGUUUUGGUUAGAGGAAAAUAAUAUUAUGCAGACACCAAAAUCAAGGAAUUCAAAUGUCCUAUCCAAAGAUUGGAUAGAUUUAGCAAGGUAUCGCAAAGAGUAUAUUCAACAUUCUUCAGGAUAAAAUCAUGUUCUGAUUCUUGAAAAGGGAGAUGGAGCUGAUCAAAUUUGAAGGAUCCCCACAAGUUAAUUUGAUCUCAUUGAAGUGAAAGUGGAUGAUGAGUUUUUGAACUAUUCUAAAUGUUUGAAUACAUUAUCUUGAACUAUUGUAGGUUACAUUUUGUGCUAAUCACGUGUACACAUAUAUUAAGAAUAUUGACAUGUAUGUACACAAGACUAUCAUUUGAUGCUUAUUGCAAAUCUAUAUAUUUAAAUU